rnacentral:rRNA from 1 species
UACGAAGGGGGCUAGCGUUGCUCGGAAUCACUGGGCGUAAAGGGUGCGUAGGCGGGUCUUUAAGUCAGGGGUGAAAUCCUGGAGCUCAACUCCAGAACUGCCUUUGAUACUGAGGAUCUUGAGUCCGGGAGAGGUGAGUGGAACUGCGAGUGUAGAGGUGAAAUUCGUAGAUAUUCGCAAGAACACCGGUGGCGAAGGCGGCGAUCUGGACGAUGACUGACACUGAGACGCGAAAGCGUGGGGAGCAAACAGG